rnacentral:rRNA from 1 species
UACGUAGGGACCAAGCGUUGUCCGGAAUCAUUGGGCGUAAAGCGCGCGUAGGCGGCCCGGUAAGUCCGUUGUAAAAGUCAAAGGCUCAACCUUUGAAUGCCGAUGGAUACUGCCGGGCUAGAGUCCGGAAGAGGCGAGUGGAAUUCCUGGUGUAGCGGUGAAAUGCGCAGAUAUCAGGAGGAACACCAAUUGCGAAGGCAGCUCGCUGGGACGUUACUGACGCUGAGACGCGAAAGCGUGGGGAGCAAACAGG